rnacentral:rRNA from 1 species
CCCCCAGACUCCUACGGGAGGCAGCAGUGGGGGAUAUUGCACAAUGGGGGGAACCCUGAUGCAGCGACGCCGCGUGAAGGAAGAAGUAUCUCGGUCUGUAAACUUCUAUCAGCAGGGAAGAAAAUGACGGUACCUGACUAAGAAGCCCCGGCUAACUACGUGCCAGCAGCCGCGGUAAUACGUAGGGGGCAAGCGUUAUCCGGAUUUACUGGGUGUAAAGGGGGCGCAGACGGCGAUGCAAGCCAGGAGUGAAAGCCCGGGGCCCAACCCCGGGACUGCUCUUGGAACUGCGUGGCUAGAGUGCAGGAGGGGCAGGCGGAAUUCCUGGUGUAGCGGUGAAAUGCGUAGAUAUCAGGAGGAACACCGGUGGCGAAGGCGGCCUGCUGGACUGCAACUGACGUUGAGGCCCGAAAGCGUGGGGAGCAAACAGGAUUAGAUACCCCAGUAU